CUCUGCAUAGUUCAAAGGAUAGAACGAAUCUCUCCUAAAGGUUAAAUAUCAGUUCGAAUCUGAUUGCGGAGACCA
rnacentral:tRNA from 1 species